rnacentral:rRNA from 1 species
AGUGAACGCUGGCGGUAUGCCUAACACAUGCAAGUCGAACGGCCGCACAGUAAGAGCUCGCUCUUACGGGUGGCGACUGGCGGGCGGGUAAGGAGUACAUCGGCUUCUACUUUUUCGUGGAGGACUACGUAAGGCCACAUACGCUACUACCUCAUAUGUUCUACCGCUUAAAUCAAGGGUUCUUGGCACUCUUCCUGAUUCAUAUAGCCGAUUCCGGAUUAGCUAGUUGGCGUGGUAAAGGCCCACCAAGGCGACGAUGCGUAGCCGAUCUGAGAGGAUGAUCGGCCACACUGGAACUGAGACACGGUCCAGACUCCUACGGGAGGCAGCAGUGGGGAAUAUUCGGCAAUGGGCGAAAGCCUGACGCAGCCAUGCCGCGUGGGUGAAGAAGGCCUUCGGAUUGUAAAACCCUUUUAUUGGGGAAGAAAAGCAGUGGGUGAAAACGCCGAUAUUUUGACGGUACCCAAUGAGAAAGCACCGGCUAACUUCGUG